rnacentral:rRNA from 1 species
GGCGAACGGGUGAGUAAUACAUCGGAACGUGCCUAGUAGUGGGGGAUAACUACUCGAAAGAGUAGCUAAUACCGCAUGAGAUCUACGGAUGAAAGCAGGGGACCUUUGGGCCUUGUGCUACUAGAGCGGCUGAUGGCAGAUUAGGUAGUUGGUGGGGUAAAGGCUUACCAAGCCUGCGAUCUGUAGCUGGUCUGAGAGGACGACCAGCCACACUGGGACUGAGACACGGCCCAGACUCCUACGGGAGGCAGCAGUGGGGAAUUUUGGACAAUGGGCGAAAGCCUGAUCCAGCAAUGCCGCGUGCAGGAUGAAGGCCCUCGGGUUGUAAACUGCUUUUGUACGGAACGAAAAGCCUGGGGCUAAUAUCCCCGGGUCAUGACGGUACCGUAAGAAUAAGCACCGGCUAACUACGUGCCAGCAGCCGCGGUAAUACGUAGGGUGCAAGCGUUAAUCGGAAUUACUGGGCGUAAAGCGUGCGCAGGCGGUUUUGUAAGACAGUGGUGAAAUCCCCGGGCUCAACCUGGGAACUGCCAUUGUGACUGCAAGGCUAGAGUGCGGCAGAGGGGGAUGGAAUUCCGCGUGUAGCAGUGAAAUGCGUAGAUAUGCGGAGGAACACCGAUGGCGA